AUCUCCCUGGUGCCAAUUUACAAACACCUUUAGCAAGAGCAUGGGCCCCACAAUUUGAUUCUCUACCUUCAUGCUUAAAAACUACUUCCUGAAACAAAGUGCUUCUAGCUUUAAUUUCCUUCAACACUGAGGAAUAAGCACACAAACUUUGCUUCUGAAGAUUCAAAAUCACUUCCAAGCAAUCUGAAGCUAUUACACACUUACGCACCCCAAUGUCCAUGGCCAAAGAAAUUGCUUCAUUACAAGCCAAAGCUUCCAAAGAUGACGGAUCAGUUAAACCAUCAAUGACCAUAGCACUUGCAGCCACAUAAUUCCCUACAUUAUCUCGACACACCACACUAACAGUCCCCUUAUCUUCAGCUCGUGCCAC
rnacentral:lncRNA from 1 species